GCCAGACUCCUACGGGAGGCAGCAGUGAGGAAUAUUGGUCAAUGGGCGAGAGCCUGAACCAGCCAAGUCGCGUGAGGGAGUACUGCCCUAUGGGUUGUAAACCUCUUUUGUCGGGGAGCAAAAGCCGGACGUGUCCGGCUGUGAGAGUACCCGAAGAAAAAGCAUCGGCUAACUCCGUGCCAGCAGCCGCGGUAAUACGGAGGAUGCGAGCGUUAUCCGGAUUUAUUGGGUUUAAAGGGUGCGUAGGCGGGAUGCCAAGUCAGGGGUCAAUUACGGGGGCUCACCCUGCGUCCGCCGUUGAAACUGGCGUUCUUGAGUGGGCGAGAAGUACGCGGAAUGCGUGGUGUAGCGGUGAAAUGCGUAGAUAUCACGCAGAACCCCGAUUGCGAAGGCAGCGUACCGGCGCCCAACUGACGCUGAAGCACGAAAGCGUGGGUAUCGAACAGGAUUAGAUACCCUGGUAUA
rnacentral:rRNA from 1 species